rnacentral:rRNA from 1 species
AGGUAGCAAUACCUAGUGGCGGACGGGUGAGUAAUACAUAGGCAACCUGCCCAACAGUGGGGGAUACCCAGUCGAAAGAUUGGCUAAUACCGCAUACGAUCCAAGAUUGGAAUGUCUUGGAUGAAAGAUUUAUCGCUGUUGGAUGGGCCUAUGGUGGAUUAGCUAGUUGGAGGGGUAACGGCCCACCAAGGCGACGAUCCAUAGCUGGUCUGAGAGGAUGAUCAGCCACACUGGGACUGAGACACGGCCCAGACUCCUACGGGAGGCAGCAGUGGGGAAUUUUCCGCAAUGGGCGAAAGCCUGACGGAGCGACGCCGCGUGGAGGAUGAAGGAUUUCGGU